AUCACUGUUGUAUUUUUAAACCUUAUUCCUGGAAGCACUACGGAUAUCAGAUCAAUUUAGAAAGCCAAAGAGUACCUCUGGGAAUGAAAUGGCAGUAAUAGAAACAAUAUUUGACCAAACUAUCGCUGUAUGCCAAUGAUGCCAAAAAUCACAGUAACCUGGCAGAACAAACCAGCAGGACUUCCUGUGAAAUCAUGACCGCCAUGUGCUCUUUCAGCCUCCAUCAAUUCCUACCUCUAAGCACCUGAGAGCCAAAGCAAACCACAGGAAACCACAGGUACUAACUCUUUUAGACCUGAUGAAGUGUCUCCCAAAGACAGUCUGGCAUGCCUUUGGAGUCAGACUGGAACUACAGCAUUGACUCUUCCGGAACUCCAGCUUA
rnacentral:lncRNA from 1 species